rnacentral:misc_RNA from 1 species
GAUGAAGAACGUAGCGAAAUGCGAUACGUAGUGUGAAUUGCAGAAUUCAGUGAAUCAUCGAAUCUUUGAACGCACAUUGCACCUCUCGGUAUUCCGGGAGGUAUGCCUGUUCGAGCGUCAUUUGUACCCUCAAGCUCCGCUUGGUGUUGGGCGUCUGUCCCGCUUCGCGCGCGGACUCGCCCCAAAGGUAUUGGCAGCGGUCGUGCCAGCUUCUCGCGCAGCACAUUGCGCUUCUCGAGGCACCGGUGGGCCCGCGUCCAUCAAGCUCACCCCCCCAGUUUGACCUCGGAUCAGGUAGGGAUACCCGCUGAACUUAAGCAUAUCAAAAGCGGAGGA